rnacentral:rRNA from 1 species
CAGUCGCCGCGGUAAUACGUAGGUCCCGGGCGUUGUCCGGAUUUAUUGGGCGUAAAGCGAGCGCAGGCGGUUAGAUAAGUCUGAAGUUAAAGGCUGUGGCUUAACCAUAGUACGCUUUGGAAACUGUUUAACUUGAGUGCAAGAGGGGAGAGUGGAAUUCCAUGUGUAGCGGUGAAAUGCGUAGAUAUAUGGAGGAACACCGGUGGCGAAAGCGGCUCUCUGGCUUGUAACUGACGCUGAGGCUCGAAAGCGUGGGGCGCAAACAGGAUUAGAUACCCGCGUAGUCCCUGUCUCUUAUACA